rnacentral:rRNA from 1 species
CUACGGGAGGCAGCAGUGGGGAAUAUUGGACAAUGGGGGAAACCCUGAUCCAGCAAUGCCGCGUGUGUGAAGAAGGCCUGCGGGUUGUAAAGCACUUUCGGUUGGGAGGACUGCUUCUAGCACUAAUAUUGUUGGAAGUUGACGUUACCUUCAGAAGAAGCACCGGCUAACUCCGUGCCAGUGGCCGCGGUAAUGACGGAGGGUGCAAGCGUUAAUCGGAAUUACUGGGCGUAAAGCGCGCGUAGGCGGCUAGAUCAGUCGGGUGUGAAAGCCCCGGGCUUAACCUGGGAACUGCAUCCGAUACUGUCUAGCUUGAGUACAGGAGAGGAGAGUGGAAUUCCACAUGUAGCGGUGAAAUGCGUAGAUAUGUGGAGGAACACCAAUGGCGAAGGCAGCUCUCUGGCCUGAUACUGACGCUGAGGUGCGAAAGCGUGGGGAGCAAACAGGAUUAGAUACCCCGGUAGUC